AGCCGAUGAAGGACGUGUGAAUCUGCGAUAAGCCUCGGGGAGCCGAUAACUGGGCGUUGAUCCGAGGAUGUCCGAAUGGGGAAACCUUGCUCAUUGUUAUGGUGAGUGACCGCUGGUUGAAUGUAUAGGCCAGUUGGGGGGAACGCGGGGAAGUGAAACAUCUCAGUACCCGCAGGAAGAGAAAAUAAUAAUGAUUCUGUUAGUAGUGGCGAGCGAACGCGGAUGAGGCUAAACCUGUGGUGUGUGAUAGCGGUUAGGUGUUGCAUCAUGGGUGUUGUGGGAGUUGUUGUGGUGGUUCUAACUGGUCACCGGCGUAGUGCAUGAUGGUAGGCGAACUGGCUUGGAAUGGUCGACCGUAGUGGGUGAGAGUCCCGUAGUUGAAAGUGUUGUGUGUGCGUUGACAAUGUCCCGAGUAGCACGGGGCUCGUGGAAUCUCGUGUGAAUCUGCCAGGACCACCUGGUAAGUCUAAAUACUUCCUGAUGACCGAUAGUGGAUCAGUACCGUGAGGGAAUGGUGAAAAGUACCCCGGGAGGGGAGUGAAAUAGUACCUGAAACCGUGUGCUUACAAGCCGUUAUAGCCCCCCUUUUGUGUGGGGUGGUGGCGUGCCUUUUGAAGAAUGAGCCUGCGAGUUAGUGUUUUGUCGCGAGGUUAACCCGUGUGGGGUAGUCGUAGCGAAAGCGAGUCUGAAUAGGGCGUUGUAGUGGCAGGAUCUAGACCCGAAGCGGAGUGAUCUAUCCAUGGCCAGGUUGAAGCACGUGUAAGAGCGUGUGGAGGACCGAACCCACCUAGGUUGAAAACUGGGGGGAUGAGCUGUGGAUAGGGGUGAAAGGCCAAUCAAACUCUGUGAUAGCUGGUUCUCCCCGAAAUGCAUUUAGGUGCAGCGUUACAUGUUUCUUGCUGGAGGUAGAGCUACUGGAUGGCCGAUGGGCCCGCGAGGGUUACUGACGUUAGCUAAACUCCGAAUGCCGGUAAGUGAGAGUGUAGCAGUGAGACAGUGGGGGAUAAGCUUCAUUGUCGAGAGGGAAACAGCCCAGACCAUCAACUAAGGCCCCUAAGCGUGUGCUAAGUGGGAAAGGAUGUGGAGUUGCUGAGACAACCAGGAGGUUGGCUUAGAAGCAGCCAUCCUUGAAAGAGUGCGUAAUAGCUCACUGGUCAAGUGAUUCUGCGCCGAUAAUGUAGCGGGGCUCAAGUACACCGCCGAAGUUGUGGCAAUCAGUCCUUGUGGCUGGUUGGGUAGGGGAGCGUCCUGCAUGAGGUGAAGCUGCCACGGGAGUGUGUGGUGGAUUGUGUGGGAGUGAGAAUGCAGGCAUGAGUAGCGAAUCACGGGUGAGAAACCCGUGCGCCGGAUGAUCAAGGGUUCCAGGGUCAAGUUAAUCUGCCCUGGGUUAGUCGGGGCCUAAGGCGAGGCCGACAGGCGUAGUCGAUGGAUAACGGGUUGAUAUUCCCGUACCAGUGAAGAACCGUCCAUACUGAUAUUGUGAUGCUAACCAUGCCGAACACGGUGUCAUGAAGUUUUCUUUGUGGUGUUGUGGGGUGUGUGGGACCCAGGCUUUGGAGGUAAGCGUGUUAACAGGUGUGACGCAGGAAGGUAGCCAAGCCACGCGGUGGUUGUCGUGGUCUAAGCGUGUAGGAUGACUGGUUGUUAAAUGCGCCGGUUGUGUGUCUGAGACGUGAUGGGACCCCUUGUUUGUGGGGGAUUUGGUGAUCCUAUGCUGCCGAGAAAAGCAUCGGCGUGAGGUUUUAGCUGCCCGUACCCGAAACCGACACAGGUGAUCAGGUAGAGAAUACUAAGGCGAUCGAGAGAAUCAUGGUUAAGGAACUCGGCAAAAUGCCCCCGUAACUUCGGGAGAAGGGGGGCCCUGAGCGUGAUCUGCCCGUGCGGUGGGGAGCGUGUAGGGGUCGCAGAGACCAGGGGGAAGCGACUGUUUAUCAAAAACACAGGUCCGUGCGAAGUCGUAAGACGAGGUAUACGGACUGACUCCUGCCCGGUGCUGGAAGGUUAAGAGGAUUGGUUAGCCCUGUGUGGGCGAAGCUGAGAAUUUAAGCCCCAGUAAACGGCGGUGGUAACUAUAACCAUCCUAAGGUAGCGAAAUUCCUUGUCGGGUAAGUUCCGACCUGCACGAAUGGAGUAACGACUUCCCUACUGUCUCAACCAUGAACUCGGUGAAAUUGCAGUACGAGUAAAGAUGCUCGUUUCGCGCAGCAGGACGGAAAGACCCCGUGACCUUUACUAUAGUUUGGUAUUGGUGUUUGGGUUGGCUUGUGUAGGAUAGGUGGGAGACUGUGAAGCCGUCACGCUAGUGGUGGUGGAGUCGUUGUUGAAAUACCACUCUGGUCAAUCUGGAUGUCUAACUUCGGGCCAUGAUCUGGUUCAGGGACAGUGCCUGAUGGGUAGUUUAACUGGGGCGGUUGCCUCCUAAAGUGUAACGGAGGCGCCCAAAGGUUCCCUCAGCCUGGUUGGCAAUCAGGUGUUGAGUG
rnacentral:rRNA from 1 species